rnacentral:lncRNA from 1 species
UUGAAAACUACUACACAACAUAUUUUACAUAUUACAACAACUCUUGAAAUCUGAACUACAUAUAGAUGAGAACCCAAUAAAAUUAAAUAACUACAUGAAAAGCAUCAAAGAAAGAAUUUAAAAAAAAUAUAUACAUGGCAUAACAUCGAUAUUUAAUUGACGUUAACAUUUUAUAAAAUUAAUCUGAACUACAUAUAGAUGACAAGCCAAUAAAAUUAAAUAACUACAUGAAAAGCAUGAAAGAAAGAAUUUAAAAAAUAUAUAUACAUGGCAUAACAUCGAUAUUUAAUUGACGUUAACAUUUUAUAAAAUUAAUGUGAAAUAUAUUGAGUUAAAAAGUAGAUGAGACUUCAAUCAAAUUGAAAAUGCAGCAAACAAAACAUCUUCUAUAAUCCUCAGCACCAUACCUAUUUGGAUCUUCUCUAUUAGCAUCCAUCAGAAUUCAGCCUUAUGAGAUAGAGACACUUCGUAUAAAGAUCCAAGAACGGAGAAAAGAACUUGUUUAUUUCUGCCAAAAAGAGUAUUAUGAUAAAGUAAAUGCUAAUAUAAGAUUUGAACAAAUUGAAUAAAAAUAAGUGAUAAAAUUGAAUCCAGAAACAUAAAGAACAAACAGCAACCAUUGAUAAAGAAAACAAGGAACAGAUCAACAAAAAUAUCGUUAUUUAUUCUAGUAAACUAAAUUUCUACUAAUCCUAAUUAUAAUGUUGAGAAGUGUCAAAAAGCUAACCACGACUAUUAAUAAUAAUUUAAGCAAACAAUCAUGGAUUAUGAGUUUGUUAAUUAGAAUAUGGAUUACAAAUGAUACGAAAAAAGAAAAAAUAAAAAAAUUAUAUCAAUAUUCAACUAUAAAAGACCAAAAUUGAUAUUCAAGGAUCAUAGAUAUGACAAAACUGAAUUCAAAAAAUCAUUUUUAUAUUUGAAAAUAAUGGAUAAAAUAAUCUAUACAAUGAUUAUAUUUUUUAACUGAGAAAGAGCUUACAAAACCUAAAAGAAUAAACCCAUAUCUGAGAAUAUGAAAUUGGGAUUAAUAGUUGGGGUAGUUUCCAAAAUAACUAAUUCUUGUACAGAACAAAAAAAAAAUCCAAUCUAAAAUGAAAAUGAUGCCAACGGAAAGAUUGAACAAAAAUAAUUUGAUAAGAAUCAGAUGUUGCACUGAACGAAGUAUCAGACAAGUCAUGUGUUGAAAAUCAACUGUUUCUUUCUUUUCCUUUAAAUUUAUAGAACAAUCACAUCCGCUGAUGAACCAUCCUGUUAUACUUUAUGUGGAAGACUCUUGACACAUUAUCAAGUGUCUCUGGGUCCAUUAGCUCAGGAACAUAGCAGUCAGGAUCAAGGUGAACUUGGAUGGGUUGGUUGUCCUUAUCGAACAAUGAAAUAAAAAAAAUUCCAAAACCAACAUACCUAAAUUGAACAGUUGCCGGUCUAUCGAUAAGAUAGAAAGUUCUAAUCAGUUCAAAUGAGUUCUCAGUUAUCAGCAACUGAUCAUUCUUUUUGAUCACCUCCAGCGAUAAACAAUUAUCUAACUCGUCAAUGACAUAGAAUAUUGGCCCUAAUCCUUCCCCAUGAGUUGAAACAAAAUUUGAGGGAAGAGCUCUGUCACCCUAUAUUCAAAUUUCUUUUCAAAGUUAACUCGUGUAACAAAACAUGGUAAAAAAGCUUAACAUAAUUUUACCUAAUUAUUUAGCAAAUAGAGGUAUUUUAAAUCUACUAUUAUUACCAACUGAGCAACACAAGAGAACAAUAAUCACGUAAAUAAACUAACAUUAUAAUGAGAAGAAAAUUUUAGAAUAAAUAAUUGAGAAGAUUCUAGUUCAGUAAACAGUUCAAUGAAUUUAAAAAAAAUAUCCAUAGAAAAGCGACAAAAGGGCAAAGCAAUCAGUCUCACACAUGCAGAAAAUAGUAGAAAAUAACAAAUUAAAGAACAUUAAGCCAAAUCAGUAAUCUAAUUAAUUCAGAUUGAUACUACUGCACAUUGGCCAUUAUAUUUCGUUACCUGCUGACUGAAAUCAUGAAAUCUGAAAACCAGUUCUUUUCCGCUGGGCCAAUAUACCUGGGUUGCUAAAAAUCUCCUAUUAGCAUAUAAAGGCACGAUUAGAAUUUAAGACUGAGACUUUUAACCAAGAAAACAACUGACUAAGUAUACCAGAAAAAAGAAAAAAAAGUAACAAAUUAAAAGAACAUUAGAGAAAAAUAUCCAAGAGACCACACUUGAAAACUACUACACAACAUAUUUUACAUAUUACAACAACUCUUGAAAUCUGAACUACAUAUAGAUGAGAACCCAAUAAAAUUAAAUAACUACAUGAAAAGCAUCAAAGAAAGAAUUUAAAAAAAAUAUAUACAUGGCAUAACAUCGAUAUUUAAUUGACGUUAACAUUUUAUAAAAUUAAUCUGAACUACAUAUAGAUGACAAGCCAAUAAAAUUAAAUAACUACAUGAAAAGCAUGAAAGAAAGAAUUUAAAAAAUAUAUAUACAUGGCAUAACAUCGAUAUUUAAUUGACGUUAACAUUUUAUAAAAUUAAUGUGAAAUAUAUUGAGUUAAAAAGUAGAUGAGACUUCAAUCAAAUUGAAAAUGCAGCAAACAAAACAUUUUCUAUAAUCCUCAGCACCAUACCUAUUUGGAUCUUCUCUAUUAGCAUCCAUCAGAAUUCAGCCUUAUGAGAUAGAGACACUUCGUAUAAAGAUCCAAGAACGGAGAAAAGAACUUGUUUAUUUCUGCCAAAAAGAGUAUUAUGAUAAAGUAAAUGCUAAUAUAAGAUUUGAACAAAUUGAAUAAAAAUAAGUGAUAAAAUUGAAUCCAGAAACAUAAAGAACAAACAGCAACCAUUGAUAAAGAAAACAAGGAACAGAUCAACAAAAAUAUCGUUAUUUAUUCUAGUAAACUAAAUUUCUACUAAUCCUAAUUAUAAUGUUGAGAAGUGUCAAAAAGCUAACCACGACUAUUAAUAAUAAUUUAAGCAAACAAUCAUGGAUUAUGAGUUUGUUAAUUAGAAUAUGGAUUACAAAUGAUACGAAAAAAUAAAAAAUAAAAAAAUUAUAUCAAUAUUCAACUAUAAAAGACUAGAAUUGAUAUUCAAGGAUCAUAGAUAUGACAAAACUGAAUUCAAAAAAUCAUUUUUAUAUUUGAAAAUAAUGGAUAAAAUAAUCUAUACAAUGAUUAUAUUUUUUAACUGAGAAAGAGCUUACAAAACCUAAAAGAAUAAACCCAUAUCUGAGAAUACGAAAUUGGGAUUAAUAGUUGGGGUAGUUUCCAAAAUAACUAAUCCUUGUACAGAACCAAAAAAAAAUCCAAUCUAAAAUGAAAAUGAUGCCAACGGAAAGAUUGAACAAAAACAAUUUGAUAAGAAUUAGAUGUUGCACUGAACGAAGUAUCAGACAAGUCAUGUGUUGAAAAUCAACUGUUUCUUUCUUUUUCUUUAAAUUUUCAUAUAAACAUUCACUGAAUAAUACAUGCAUGUCCCAAAAAAAAAACAAGUUUGCAGGCAAAGAAACCUAGCAAAACUGAGAAGAAAACGAAAAGAAAAAAUACAAAACUGAAAACUUAGUUACCAGUACAACCAUUAGGGCAAAAGAUGAAAUUGAUGCUUGGUUUUCAGUUUAUAAAGGAUUUACCUUAAUAGCACCCCCGUUGUUACUUGGCUGAAGUUUAGUGCCUCGAUCUGUCAAAACAUGAAGAUAAUGAAUUAUGCGCCGAUUCACCAAGCAACACUGGUGUGUCGCAUCGACUGGAAGCACUGUGAGCCACCGCAGAUGAGGACAGGUUGGUAACUUGUAGCCGGAUAUGAGGUUUUGAACAUGCAAAAGUCCGGUGGUAGAGUUUGCGGGUUGAGGGAGGUGAAAGCAAAGAAAUAAAGACGAAGGAGGUGCAGUAAGUAUGUUGUUGUCGCGUUUGCUUCCCUUUUUUUUUUUUUUUU